CAAGAAUCGGAGUACUUGGAACUCGAUUCCCAUUACUGGGGAAUGGAGACUAUUGAUGUGUUUAUGAGCUAGAGGAUGGCUAGAGGCCAAAAUUUGAGCUUAAUUACGACGUGCAUCCGAUUGUCAAGAUAAGAGAAGCGAUAGGGUUAUGUGACAAGUGUCAUCAAUUAGGCGAACACGAAAUUGGCAUUUGAUAAGUCCCCCAUCCCAUUGUGUCACUCCGCUAAAGCUGUGUAGGUCUUUUGCCUUCAAGUUUGAUUAGUUUGUAAAAUGUCUCAAGCACAAUGUGCCAUAUGAAUUGUUCGAGGGUUAUUAUGUAUGAACCCUAGGUUACGGCCAACGUAUGGCUUUCUGAAUAUUUGUAAGAAUUAUGAGCCAGGUAUAAUUUAUUAUAUAUGAAGUUGCAAUGAAUAUUUGGUUAUAAAUCCCUAGGCGU